rnacentral:tRNA from 1 species
GGUUCCAUAGUGUAGUGGUUAGGACAUCUGCCUUACACGCAGAAUGUCCUGGGUUUGCGCCCCAGUGGAGGCA